rnacentral:rRNA from 1 species
AGUGAACGCUGGCGGUAGGCCUAACACAUGCAAGUCGAACGGCAGCACAGUAAGAGCUUGCUCUUACGGGUGGCGAGUGGCGGACGGGUGAGGAAUACAUCGGAAUCUACUUUUUCGUGGGGGAUAACGUAGGGAAACCUACGCUAAUACCGCAUACGACCUACGGGUGAAAGCAGGGGAUCUUCGGACCUUGCGCGAUUGAAUGAGCCGAUGCCGGAUUAGCUAGUUGGCGGGGUAAAGGCCCACCAAGGCGACGAUCCGUAGCUGGUCUGAGAGGAUGAUCAGCCACACUGGAACUGAGACACGGUCCAGACUCCUACGGGAGGCAGCAGUGGGGAAUAUUGGACAAUGGGCGCAAGCCUGAUCCAGCCAUACCGCGUGGGUGAAGAAGGCCUUCGGGUUGUAAAACCCUUUUGUUGGGAAAGAAAAGCAGCAGGUUAAUACCCCGCUGUUCUGACGGUACCCAAAGAAUAAGCACCGGCUAACUUCGUG